rnacentral:rRNA from 1 species
UUGCUGCUUCGCUGACGAGUGGCGGACGGGUGAGUAAUGUCUGGGAAGCUGCCUGAUGGAGGGGGAUAACUACUGGAAACGGUAGCUAAUACCGCAUAAUGUCGCAAGACCAAAGAGGGGGACCUUCGGGCCUCUUGCCAUCGGAUGUGCCCAGAUGGGAUUAGCUUGUUGGUGGGGUAACGGCUCACCAAGGCGACGAUCCCUAGCUGGUCUGAGAGGAUGACCAGCCACACUGGAACUGAGACACGGUCCAGACUCCUACGGGAGGCAGCAGUGGGGAAUAUUGCACAAUGGGCGCAAGCCUGAUGCAGCCAUGCCGCGUGUAUGAAGAAGGCCUUCGGGUUGUAAAGUACUUUCAGCGGGGAGGAAGGGAGUAAAGUUAAUACCUUUGCUCAUUGACGUUACCCGCAGAAGAAGCACCGGCUAACUCCGUGCCAGCAGCCGCGGUAAUACGGAGGGUGCAAGCGUUAAUCGGAAUUACUGGGCGUAAAGCGCACGCAGGCGGUUUGUUAAGUCAGAUGUGAAAUCCCCGGGCUCAACCUGGGAACUGCAUCUGAUACUGGCAAGCUUGGGUCUCGUAGAGGGGGGUAGAAUUCCAGGUGUAGCGGUGAAAUGCGUAGAGAUCUGGAGGAAUACCGGUGGCGAAGGCGGCCCCCUGGACGAAGACUGACGCUCAGGUGCGAAAGCGUGGGGAGCAAACAGGAUUAGAUACCCUGGUAGUCCACGCCGUAAACGAUGUCGACUUGGAGGUUGUGCCCUUGAGGCGUGGCUUCCGGAGCUAACGCGUUAAGUCGACCGCCUGGGGAGUACGGCCGCAAAGUUAAAACUCAAAUGAAUUGACGGGGGCCCGCACAAGCGGUGGAGCAUGUGGUUUAAUUCGAUGCAACGCGAAGAACCUUACCUGGUCUUGACAUCCACGGAAGUUUUCAGAGAUGAGAAUGUGCCUUCGGGAACCGUGAGACAGGUGCUGCAUGGCUGUCGUCAGCUCGUGUUGUGAAAUGUUGGGUUAAGUCCCGCAACGAGCGCAACCCUUAUCCUUUGUUGCCAGCGGUCCGGCCGGGAACUCAAAGGAGACUGCCAGUGAUAAACUGGAGGAAGGUGGGGAUGACGUCAAGUCAUCAUGGCCCUUACGACCAGGGCUACACACGUGCUACAAUGGCGCAUACAAAGAGAAGCGACCUCGCGAGAGCAAGCGGACCUCAUAAAGUGCGUCGUAGUCCGGAUUGGAGUCUGCAACUCGACUCCAUGAAGUCGGAAUCGCUAGUAAUCGUGGAUCAGAAUGCCACGGUGAAUACGUUCCCGGGC